ensembl:misc_RNA Metazoa_SRP Metazoan signal recognition particle RNA
ACCAGGCAUGGUGAUGCGUGCCUGUAGUCCCAGCUACUUGGGAGGCUGAGGUGGGAGGAGCACUUGGGUCCAGGAGUUCUGGGCUGCAGUGCGCUAUGCCGGUCGGGUGUCCACACUGCAUUCGGCAUCAAUAUGGUGACCUCCCGGGAGCGGGGACCACCAGCCUGCCUAAGGAGGGGUGAACCGGCCCAGGUCGGAAACGGAGCAGGUCAAAACUCCCAUGCUGAUCAGUAGUGGGAUCACGCCUGUGAAUAGCCCCUGUGCUCCAGCCUGGGCAACGUAGCGAGACCCCGUCUCUA